ensembl:lncRNA
UGGGAGGGUGAGCAGCAGCCUCCUCCCAGAGGGACUCUGGGCUGGGGAACAGGGUCCAAGGAGCUGUCCGGGGGCAGUGACCAGGGAGUCCAGGAGAUGCCGCUGAGCAGAGGAGGGGAAGCCCCCCGGGGGGAGGCCCUUUCUGCAGUGGCCUCUCCCAUCGCUGGAGAGCUGAGAGCCGCUAACCCCUCCCUGCCCCUGGCCAGCUCUCCACGAAGGUGGCAGCCCCCACGCUCAGCCUCUCACGGCCACAACACUCACGUCCGAGUUCCAGGCUCAGAGAGGAACACGCCUGCUACCUGGUGCCCGCCAGCUCACGGACUGCCGGGGGACAACAAGGGCCUGACCUGCUGAGCCUGGGCCACCGCCCGCAGAAAGGGGCUGACGACUAGGUUAUCAGAGAAGAGUCACUGGCGGAAACCACUGGCUUGCUUCUGCACCAGGGAUGGCCUCCAGAGAACCGGGCUCAAGAGGGUGCUCUCACUGAAAGGAGCUGCACGCGGGCCCCAGGUUGGGAGCAGCAGCCCCAGGACACUCACCCCAACAUCGGAGGCUGGGGCGACAGAGCGCCUGGCCGCCGCCAAAGCUGUGGGCUCCACGCUCUCCCUGUCCCUUCCUCCCCCUCUGUUCUCCUUCUCUGCUUCCUCCUGUCUCUGCCUCCCUCCCUUCCUCUAUAAAAACAAUGAAAGUUCUAUUCUGACCGUAUUAGUAUAAAAAAAGUAAAAGGGAACCC